CAACUUUCUACAGUUGACACAGUGCCCUCUCAAGCAGCAACUACAGCAAGCUGUGUCACAAGCAAAGCCAUCUGGCUAUUCAGCCUCCACCGGAAAAGUUCUCCUGCUACAGUAUUUGAUUUGAACGGCUAAUGUAAGGAUAUCAGCAGAGAGGAAGCUCAAGAGGACCAGGCUGAGCAAGUCCUGAGGAUCUGUGUCUUCCACACCAGUGAAGAAGAUGAA